rnacentral:rRNA from 1 species
AUUGAACGCUGCCCGCAUGCCUUACAUAUGCAAGUCGAACGGCAGCACGGGUGCUUGCACCUGGUGGCGAGUGGCGAACGGGUGAGUAAUACAUCGGAACAUGUCCUGUAGUGGGGGAUAGCCCGGCGAAAGCCGGAUUAAUACCCCAUACGCUCUACGGAUGAAAGCGGGGGACCUUCGGGCCUCGCGCUACAGGGUUGGCCGAUGGCUGAUUAGCUAGUUGGUGGGGUAAAGGCCUACCAAGGCGCCGAUCAGUAGCUGGUCUGAGAGGACGACCAGCCACACUGGGACUGAGACACGGCCCAGACUCCUACGGGAGGCAGCAGUGGGGAAUUUUGGACAAUGGGCGAAAGCCUGAUCCAGCAAUGCCGCGUGUGUGAAGAAGGCCUUCGGGUUGUAAAGCACUUUUGUCCGGAAAGAAAUCCUUGGCCCUAAUACGGUCGGGGGAUGACGGUACCGGAAGAAUAAGCACCGGCUAACUACGUG